UACGAAGGGGGCUAGCGUUGUUCGGAAUUACUGGGCGUAAAGCGCACGUAGGCGGAUUUGUAAGUCAGGGGUGAAAUCCCGGGGCUCAACCUCGGAACUGCCUUUGAUACUGCAAGUCUUGAGUCCGAUAGAGGUGAGUGGAAUUCCUAGUGUAGAGGUGAAAUUCGUAGAUAUUAGGAAGAACACCAGUGGCGAAGGCGGCUCACUGGAUCGGUACUGACGCUGAGGAGCGAAAGCGUGGGGAGCGAACGAG
rnacentral:rRNA from 1 species